CUGCCACUGGAUAAAAUGAGGUAUAUUGAAUAAGGACACAAAUGUUGCCUUUCAACAGGCCAUUUAUGGACCUCUCAAAAAGUUUUUCAAGGGUUCGUAAAGUACACGAGACAUUGGAUCGUAUAUUCCCAUUCGUCCUUUGUCGAUAUUUUAUGUAUACUUCUUAAUAUAAGUCAGACCGUACGCGUACGGUCCGACCGUAUGAGUAUUUUGAAAAAGUACGCAUACGGCCCAGACCGUAUACGUACGGUCCAAAUACUCAUACGGUCUGGAACAUAAUCACUGACUAAUACUUUAGAUACACAUGAUUUACCUCUUAGUUUUAAUUCGCUUUGAAAUAACUAUCAGUUACUUCAAUUACUCCUUUGUCGAUAUUUUAUGUAUAUGGUUUUUGUGCCUUGUACCGACAUUUUGAGUUGAGCCAAUUGCAACUGUACAGGUUUUUUUAUGUUUUUUUUUAUAAGUUGUGCUGUUACACCAGUGUCCCAGGUUAAGGAGAGGGUUGGGGGCUCACAUGUUUAAUCCCGCCGCAUUUUUUUUCGUGUCGGUCCUACGUCAUGGGCCUGUAUAACAUAGGUUAUAUAGAUCUGUCAUAUUUUUUUUUCUUUGAUAAAUAAUCCAUAAGUUAUAAAUAAAUAACCGUUAGUUUUCUCGUUUUUAUUUUUUCACAUUUUUUUUUAUAUUGGUGUCUUUUAUAGCCGACUAUAUGGUAUAGGUUUUCCUCACUGUUAAAUGUUGUACAUUGGACUAUAAUAAUUGCUUUAUUCACCCACUUCAUUUAAACUUUGGUGGAAAGUUGUAUCACUGGCCAUCACACCACAUCUAAAAAGCUUUAUGUGUAAAAAAAAAAAAGUAAAAAAAACCCACCCAUAGAUAAAGCAGUUGGAAUGCAAUCUAAGGCAUUCGGCAAACUAAGUUCAACGAGCUCCUAUGUCUGCUUUCGUCUAUGCGAAUUUGGAC
rnacentral:lncRNA from 1 species